rnacentral:rRNA from 1 species
UACAGAGGGUGCAAGCGUUAAUCGGAAUUACUGGGCGUAAAGCGUGCGCAGACGGUUGUUUAAGUCGGAUGUGAAAUCCCCGGGCUCAACCUGGGAAUUGCAUUCGAGACUGGAUAGCUAGGGUACGGAAGAGGGGAGCGGAAUUUCAGGUGUAGCAGGGAAAUGCGUAGAUAUCUGAAGGAAAAUCAGUGGCGAAGGCGGCUUCCUGGUCCAGUACCGACGGUCAGGCGCGAAAGCGUGGGGAGCAAACAGG